AGCGAACGUUUGCGGCGGGCCUAACACAUGCAAGUCGAACGCACUAGCAAUAGUGAGUGGCGCACGGGUGCGUAACACGUGGGUAAUCAACCCUUCAGCCUGGGAUAACGACUCGAAAGGGUCGCUAAUACCGGAUACGGCGCGAGAGGCUUCGGCUUCUCACGAGAAAGCCACGCAAGGGGCACUGAAGGACGAGCCUGCGGCCCAUCAGCUAGUUGGUGAGGUAAGAGCUCACCAAGGCUAAGACGGGUAGCUGGUCUGAGAGGAUGAUCAGCCACACUGGAACUGAGACACGGUCCAGACUCCUACGGGAGGCAGCAGUGGGGAAUAUUGCGCAAUGGGCGAAAGCCUGACGCAGCCACGCCGCGUGAGCGAUGAAGGCCUUCGGUCGUAAGACGUCUGUGGGAGAGACGAAGAAAGCCUGUGAAGAGCAGGCCUUGACGGUAUCUCCUUAGCAAGCACCGGC
rnacentral:rRNA from 1 species